CCGUGCGCGGAGCACGCCGGAUCUCUGGAGAGACAAGUGUGUGCUAGCUGUCUGGAAGUUAAGGGCAGCGUCCCCGGUUGUACGGUUGGUUGGUGUUUUAUGUCAAUCUUAAUAUUGUUAGUCUAGCUGCUCUGAGGAAAAAAAAAAAAAAAAAAAAAAGAUAAUGAAGAUGGAUUCGCUUGAGGAACAGCGAAUACCUGCUCGCAUAUGAUGCAAAGGGAUCUCAAGGGUUUGAGGGAGGGCGGAGCCAGAGCAUGAACAAGAAAAUAGGACCAUACAACUAAUGAAAUAAAGACACGAAAAGGGGGCUUAUACAGAGGAAAUGAGAAGGAAAACGAGUGAAUCUGGCUGGGAUACAUGAAAAUAUUUGUUUACUAACAGGACUACGUCAUUUGGAUUCGCUUAUUCCGAACUUAUCAUACUUAGAACCAACAGUAAGAAUACAAUACUCAAGUAGAGGCACCUCUGAAUAACUGAGCUUCUGGGUAAUUGAACGAGAAGAAACUGAACAUACAGUCUUGGGGAAAGUGCUAGAAUAAGGCAGCUGAAUACUUACUCAUUCUUGCCAAUGGAUAUAAACACACUGGCUAUAAAUGUGAUGCCUAGAGAGCACAAAUCCCAAAGUUCCAACCUUUGUAUCAUUUCAUUGAGCUCUGAAAAUCAAGCUCACAACUUGGGUUUGGUUCACUAUCUUAACACCACCUUGUGGUUAGGUUUUUGUUUUUAACCAUAUCAAGGACCGUCCGGGGCUAGGCUGGUAACUGGGCUUCCAGGUGACCUGCCGGUGGUUUGCUUCUAGGUCUCAUCAGAGCUACCUGGUGGCAAACUUCUAUUGCACAUGCAUUGCGUUAUUUCAAGUCAUACAAAAUGGUUUCCAAGUUACAGAGAAUGAUUUUUAAGUUAUGUUCCUAACAGCAGGGCACAGGAUUAUAUAAUUAUAAGACCAGAAGGAAUCAGGAACACUUUCCUUAAAGGAAGAGAUAUGAAAACUAAGGCCUGAAUUGAUUUGAAUUUUCUAGGAAGAAAAGCAAAAUGAAAAUAGAUGAAUAAAGUGUCAAAGUGUCAGAUAUUAUGAAUUACAAGUUGGUACUUAAGGGACUGGCCACAUUUGUAUUGAAAGAUUAUCUGUGGAAUAUAAUAGUGGGAAGGAAGAAAUGGAGUCAGACUUUUUGGGAGCUGUUUAGAACAGUGGUUCUCAAUCUUCUAAUGCUGGACCCUUUAACACUUCCUCAUGUUGUGGUAACCCCUGAUCAUAACGUUUUUGUUUGUUUCUUUUUGCUACUUCAUAACUGUAAUUUUACUACUGUUAUGAAUCAUAAAUGUAAAUAUUUCUGGAGAUAGGGGUUAGCCAAAGGGGUUAUACUUCACAGGUUGAGAACCACUGGUUUAAAGAUUCCAAUUGAGAAAUGUGAGGAUACUUUACAUACAUCCGUAUUUCACUUUUGUUGGACAAAUUAUUUAAUCCGGACCCAAAUUACUACCCACCUUUGAUCAUUUAGUUUCCGGAUAAAACAUACACACAACCUUUAUAAACCUUAAACAGCACAAGAGCUGGGCAGAUACCUACCCUCUAUGCUAUUAGAAUCUAUUUUCCUAUAGAUAACCCAAGUUAUUACUUACUAUGUUUCAUCAAUAGGAGGGAAUUCAUGCCAGGUACUGUUGAAGGGCCACAACUUGACAAGACAGACUCCAUCUUGUAACCAGACCUCCAUUUUAUACACUAGGCCCUGUUCUCGGUUAAACUCUAAUUUAUUAAAAAACAAACAAAAAACCCCCCAAAAAACAAAAAAAAAACAAAAACAUACAAACAAAUAAAAAACCUUUCCAGGAAGGAACCACCCUAGACAUGAUCCACCAGCAAGAAAAUACCUAACGCUCUAUAUCUGUGUAGAUAGAUAUAGAUAAAACUGCUUAAGCCAACUGAAAUCAUUGUUAGACAGUCAUAUAACUGCUAAGUUGAUAAGUUCCUCACCUUGCUGUAACUGAAAUAAAAAUGUUAAACCUUAGGUGCUUGAGGCCUUCUUUGCUACCUCACAUUGAUAGAGGAGCCAGAAGGUCCAAGCUUGAGUUUGAAUAAAGACUCUUUGCUUUUGC
rnacentral:lncRNA from 1 species